rnacentral:rRNA from 1 species
AGAGUUUGAUCCUGGCUCAGGAUGAACGCUAGCGGCAGGCUUAACACAUGCAAGUCGAGGGGCAGCGGGGAGGAAGCUUGCUUUCUCCGCCGGCGACCGGCGCACGGGUGAGUAACACGUAUGCAACCUGCCCCUGUCAGGGGGACAACCCGCCGAAAGGCGGGCUAAACCCGCGUACAUGCCACCGGGGCAUCCCGGAGGCAGGAAAGGCUUCGGCCGGACAGGGAUGGGCAUGCGGCGCAUUAGGCAGUAGGCGGGGUAACGGCCCACCUAACCGACGAUGCGUAGGGGUUCUGAGAGGAAGGUCCCCCACACUGGUACUGAGACACGGACCAGACUCCUACGGGAGGCAGCAGUGAGGAAUAUUGGUCAAUGGUCGGGAGACUGAACCAGCCAAGCCGCGUGAGGGAGGAAGGUACAGAGUAUCGUAAACCUCUUUUGUCAGGGAACAAAGGCGGGGACGUGUCCCCGGAUGAGUGUACCUGAAGAAAAAGCAUCGGCUAACUCCGUGCCAGCAGCCGCGGUAAUACGGAGGAUGCGAGCGUUAUCCGGAUUUAUUGGGUUUAAAGGGUGCGCAGGCGGUCUGUUAAGUCAGCGGUCAAAGCCCGGGGCUCAACCCCGGCCCGCCGUUGAAACUGGCAGUCUCGAGUUGGAGAGAAGUAUGCGGAAUGCGCGGUGUAGCGGUGAAAUGCAUAGAUAUCGCGCAGAACUCCGAUUGCGAAGGCAGCAUGCCGGCUCCACACUGACGCUGAGGCACGAAAGCGUGGGUAUCGAACAGGAUUAGAUACCCUGGUAGUCCACGCAGUAAACGAUGAAUGCUGGCUGUCCGGGGGGAUUGACCCCUGGGUGGCGAAGCGAAAGCGAUAAGCAUUCCACCUGGGGAGUACGCCGGCAACGGUGAAACUCAAAGGAAUUGACGGGGGCCCGCACAAGCGGAGGAACAUGUGGUUUAAUUCGAUGAUACGCGAGGAACCUUACCCGGGCUCAAACGGGGAGUGACUCAGGCAGAGACGCCUGUUUCCCACGGGACACUCCCCGAGGUGCUGCAUGGUUGUCGUCAGCUCGUGCCGUGAGGUGUCGGCUUAAGUGCCAUAACGAGCGCAACCCCCGCGUGCAGUUGCUAACAGAUAACGCUGAGGACUCUGCACGGACUGCCGGCGCAAGCCGCGAGGAAGGCGGGGAUGACGUCAAAUCAGCACGGCCCUUACGUCCGGGGCGACACACGUGUUACAAUGGGUGGUACAGCGGGAAGCCAGGCGGCGACGCCGAGCGGAACCCGAAAUCCACUCUCAGUUCGGAUCGGAGUCUGCAACCCGACUCCGUGAAGCUGGAUUCGCUAGUAAUCGCGCAUCAGCCAUGGCGCGGUGAAUACGUUCCCGGGUCUUGCACACACCGCCCGUCAAG